GAAAAGAACGUUUCUGUUAAAUGUAAGUUGUGUCCUGGCGGGUCAAAGAGCCUAUCUACUGCCCAAACCAGUAAUUCAAAUCUCUUAAAACAUCUGCAAAAACAACAUGCUGGGACGAAGCUAGUAUAUAAGACCGACACAGACCCAGACUCAUCCAACGCCACUCCACCUCCACCUACGUAAGCAACAGCGGCUGGAUUUUAACCAAGGGACUGCUGGCCAGGAAAAAGUCGAUAAAGCCAUUGCACGAUCAUCAACAGGCCACAGGUGCCAUUAAACACCUGCUGAUGACAGCAAAAGGUGCUCAUGGGAGCUCGGUGCAGAGAGAGGAGCCGGACAGACUGCUGCUGACAGCUGGCCAAUCAUCUCUGCUGAAAACCUGAUGACAUCAGCAAACCUCGGCCGUUGAGCUGAACUGCUGCUGGAAAGUUUAUGAAUUUCUCCAUGUUGAUUAUCAAAGUGGAUAUUCAAGAUUGUUAUUUGGAAAGUUUAGUUUUAUUAUCUGAUAUGUCAACUCUGUGGCAUAUGGAGUAUUAAUGCACUUAUAAUAUGUAUUUAUCACUUACACUUGUGAUCAAAAUGCAGCAUCUUACAUGUUUUAACUUUUGCAGUUUAAAAAUAUACGUAGAACUGUAUAUUUCUCAGAAUUAGUUCAAAUUUCUUUGUAGAAAAGGAUAUUUUAUUCUUAAUGUAUACUUGAUACGAAAUUACAAGAAAGGUAUAUAUCAAAAGCCAUAUACCAUGUCAAAAGGUGCUCACUUGUUUUCAGGUGAUACAUAAACCAAAACAACAAAAUACCUCACUGUAAAAUAUGUUUAAUGUACUUACAUGUCGAUCACUUCCCUCCAACACUGUUGAAGUGUAUUUUUUUCUCAUUUUGUGUUACUGAUAUCUCUGAACUGUUGGCUGUUGUAUGUGGGAAAAAAAGGUUUCAGGCUGCUGUGUUUCCUCCCGGAUUAUUCCAGGAGGUUGUGAUUCUGGGCCAGCUGGGAAUUUCCAACGAUUUAAGUGACAUCAUUGAGUCAAAUAAUAUCCACGAAAACAAUGCUGCCUGGCAACGGAAAGAGUUCCAACAUCAUUUAUUCCCUUUUGGGACGGCCACUAGAAUCUGUUGAUGGGUUUUUUAAACACCUCCAAAGGCAAGAUUCAAGCCAGAAAAUAACAUGUUUUACACCUUGAUUACAUUGUGAGUGAGGUAGCGAUUCCCAAACUUUUUUAUAUAAAGUAAUAUAAUUUGUGCCAAUUGUGACUGAAGAUGUAUCCUUUCUUGCUUUUAGAGAACUGAAUAUAUUCAAAUAUAUUUUAAUUCACAAGAAAGAAAUGUUUUUACAUUCACAAAUUCUGCCCGUCAUUCAUUUAUCCAUCCGCAAAAUUUCUGUUUGUUUCUUGUAUGACUUCUGCAACAGUUAAUGACUACUUUUACGCCCAAACUGACUCCACACAGCUGCUUCCCUUCAAGGAUUAUUCCCCGCAGUUACACAGUUGAAAUACACAUUGUUAACCUGGAUCCACCCCCAUAUACUUGUAAUUUUUGCGUUGUGUGAUGCAGAAUACAAAAUGAAGAAAUGUA